rnacentral:rRNA from 1 species
GACGAACGCUGGCGGCGUGCCUAAUACAUGCACGUAGAACGCAGUUGCGAACGGGUGCGUAACGCGUAGGUAACUGCCUCAUAGCGGGGGAUAACUCUUGGAAACGAUAGCUAAUACCGCAUACAGUGAGAUCGACCUUCGUUUGAUUAGCUAGUUGGUGAGGUAAAGGCUCACCAAGGCGACGCUAAAUAGCCGAGGUGAGAGGGUGAUCGGCCACACGGGGACUGGGACACGGCCCAGACUCCUACGGGAGGCAGCAGUAGGGAAUCAUCGGCAAUGGACGGAAGUCUGACCGAGCAACGGCGGGGGAGUGAAGAAGGUUUUCGGAUCGUAAAGCUCUGUUGUGAGAGAAGCGGGAACGAAAGAGAAAGGGACGGCUAACUACGUGCCAGCAGCCGCGGUAAUAG